UUUUAUUGAAGUGCUUUGAAACUGGUUCCACGCAGACAUGUAUAGACAAGCUCACAUAUACCGGAGCGGUCAGUCCGGACAGUCACGUGACCAGACACGUUAUUGUACAGGUCUGGUCACGUGACGUCGGGACUCUGUUCACGUGACCGCUUUAAACUGCGCUGUGUCAUAUGCUGUCGGGACUGCUGUUCACGUGACGCUCUUAACGUGAUGCUGUUGACGUGGUCGGGACUCUGUUCACGUGACUAUUGUUAACAUGACGCUUAUAACUGCGCUGUGGCGGACAUGACAGCUCACAGCUCCUCAGAAGCUCCGUGAGCUGUCCAGUGAGGGGAUGGUUUCAUGUUCAAAUCUUCAUUUACUGUCCACAUUAUCAGAUGAGGACGUCACCAAAGAGUGUCCUUUGAGUCGAUGUUUACAUUUAUGUACAGAUAAUUAAGAACAUUUAGUUUAUCGUAAAAUGCUAAUUAUUUUCUCCUGCCACCUUUCAGACAUUGUCAUCCAAUUUGGAUGGAACAACUUCGUGACCUUAAUGACACCCAGCAACACGGUGAGAUUAUAAUCUAUUUAAAUGCCAGAAGCAUGACAUUUUUUAAGAUGUUUUUUCUUUCUUUGUGUUAGAGAGAAACACACAAAAGCACACAAGCACCACAGGGGAGGAUCUGCAGCAAAGGGCCCACCGGAAAUCAAACCUUGGCCGCUAUGAUGACGACAACAUGGGGCACUUGAGUGUGACUACGACUACCAGCAUGAACCUCAACACCUUCUUUGCUGUUCCACUAGUGUGACCCAUGAUCGGAUACAAGUUGUCAAGGAUAAAUAGUGGUAAGUGGUUUUAAGUUCAGUGUGUUAAUUUAACAACAGAAUAAAUUGUUAUUGUUGUAACCACUUUGUCAUGUUGUAAAUGCUAUUUAAAGUUAUAUUAUUGUUAAUCUUUUCAAUUGUCUUUUUUCUGGCUGUAGAGAGAAUCAUGUCAGCCCACAGACAACCGAUUGACCUGUGAGUCUUCAAGCAGUAAUGAUGACUACGCCUGCCUUAAGUUCCAGUUUCCUGAACAUCAUGGCAUGUCUGCAGGAGAUUCGGUCCCCACCUGUCUUCAGUCUGGACCUAAUGACUCAGACACCAGUCUUGUCGAGGCUAAAUCGAGAGAGGAUCACCUGAUGUCAACAUACGAGUUUUCAAGAAGAACUUCCUGAACUUUGUGUCUGUGUGAGACUCUACCAUGCUGGGUGCCCUCUUCAGUCAAGUCUGGACACAGAGACUCAUUGCUCUUCAUCAACUCUGGGCAAGUGGCUAAUCUUUG